GAUAACCUGUGUUGCACACAUGCUUCUCCUUCUCCAUUGCCAUUAUUGUCCAGUGAGUUUGGGAUUCAUCUGAGUUCCCUUAACAACUUGAAUGCAAGUGAUGGUUCAUUCAAGCUCUCAGGAUAUAUUUCAGGUCCUGAUGUUACACAGUGGAAGAUACACCUGUGAAUUAUGAGAUCAGGAAAAAGAGUACAGGGCCCUGAGUUGCAAAGCAACACUUGAACUUCCUUCCCCGUAGCCAAAGAAACUGACUGGAGAGUGCACUGUCAGGAGAGAGAUUUGCUAUGCACAGAAUUUCUGCCGGGAAGUGCUUUCGAAAAGCAUGAUCCUGAAUCCAGAUUCCUCUGUCAGAUCGAAAGUUCAAGUCAGUCAAUUGAUUGCUUUCUUGCUCAUUGCACAGUCGGUGUGAACUAGAAAUCCAGAAACUCGCGCACCCCCUUUCAUCUAAUGUUUUUACCUACAGAGGAUGAUUUUCUGGACAACAAAUUCAGUGCUUCAGCUAGCUCCAGUUAUAAAUCAGACUGCCUGUUAGGUUCCGGAUGGGAGAAGUCUUAAACAAUUGUAGCUGGCAGAUCAACAGAGGAGGCCUCAUUUAGGGAGUCUCUUGAACUUGAUAACAGUUCAAAUGUGAUGCAUGAGGGAAGGAAACCAUUUAUGCGGAGCUGUUCUUUGCCGGGGGUCUUUCGGAAACAGCCUUUCUACCUCCUCGAGGUAGUGGUCUUAAAUCAUAGGUCUCCUAGAGGCAAGGAAAUAUAUUUGGAGAAGUUCUCCAUGUGCAAAACUCAGAGCAAGGCACUGCAGAGGUCAAAAUUUCUGUCGGGAGAUUCAGAAAAGUCUUUAUUAACCAAGGACAUUCUAGAUUAAUACGAUCAUCUUAUGGACUUCUUUAAACAGACUGCUGCAAAUUAUGAUUCUGACC